rnacentral:rRNA from 1 species
ACGAACGCUGGCGGCGUGCCUAAUACAUGCAAGUUGAGCGCUGAAGGUUGGUACUUGUACCGACUGGAUGAGCAGCGAACGGGUGAGUAACGCGUGGGGAAUCUGCCUUUGAGCGGGGGACAACAUUUGGAAACGAAUGCUAAUACCGCGUAAAAACUUUAAACACAAGUUUUAAGUUUGAAAGAUGCAAUUGCAUCACUCAAAGAUGAUCCCGCGUUGUAUUAGCUAGUUGGUGAGGUAAAGGCUCACCAAGGCGAUGAUACAUAGCCGACCUGAGAGGGUGAUCGGCCACAUUGGGACUGAGACACGGCCCAAACUCCUACGGGAGGCAGCAGUAGGGAAUCUUCGGCAAUGGACGAAAGUCUGACCGAGCAACGCCGCGUGAGUGAAGAAGGUUUUCGGAUCGUAAAACUCUGUUGGUAGAGAAGAACGUUGGUGAGAGUGGAAAGCUCAUCAAGUGACGGUAACUACCCAGAAAGGGACGGCUAACUACGUG